GGCGCUGAGGGCUGGCCGGGGCUGAGCUCAGCUGUGAGGGGCGUUUGUGAGUCCCGGGACAUCGAAUUCCUUGUGUUGGAACUCACGAAAUACGUGUAUGAAAACGCUUUUGCCCGAUAACAGCCCCUCAGCGAGCAGGCGGCAGAAGGGACGCUGUGCUGUCAUUCCCUUCUCAGCGGCAGCCUGCUGUUUGGAUUGGCUGCAUCCCAUUCACCUGGAGAGGAUGGCCUGUUGGGAGCUCUGCUGAUGGGCUGACUGCUUAGGGAAUGCUUCAGAUGUAAUACAGACUGCAAAUGUGAGCCUGAAAGUCGCAUCAGGGGGGGCCCACACUAUUAUUGUUCAAUUUGCUGCCACUACCUGACACCCUUAUUUUGCUGAGGAUCCCCAGAGGUGAGGGAGCAUUGCUCUGGCCAGAACAGGAAGCUCUGUGGCACAUUUUUGUAGCUGGGGAGUGUAUGGAGGAGGAUUCCCACCGAAGGUAUGGCCAAUAUUAGGUUUUGUUUCUGCUUUUUUCAUGGUAGGGGUGGAUUGUUAAUAUCUCUAUGAUAAAACAUCGAGUAUUGCAUACAAGUUAUGCUCCCUGUGGUGUUUUAUUUGUUCUGUCAUGUGCAUACCAUGCUGUUGAAAACCCUGACCCGCUGCAGCACUGAAACAGCAACAGCUUUUCCUUUUCAAAUGCUGAUGAAAUUGUACAUUGUAAUUUCCAGCACUUUCUAGUCAAAUUAUGGGCUUGAGCCUUGAAAAUAGGAUGAUUUUUUUUUUUAACAGUAACUACAUCAAUCUGUAUUUUUUUUUUGAAAGCCACGUAAGAACAGAACAUCCUAUAAUGGACAACACUUAUCGUUAUAUAAAUAAAGAGGGGGUUGGUGGGGGUUUUUUUGACUUUUUUUUGUUUAUUCUUUCUUAAACAUCUAUAUAUUGUAAUUUAGUUACCCUCAGACUUAAGCUAAACAGCAUAACAAUAUCUUCCUGCAACACAAGUGGCACGUUGCAAAGCUGUGUUUGUGACUUGUCACUCCAACAACCGUGUUUUAUUUACAGUUCAUUUGCUUUUUGCAUGCAAUUCUUGAUUCAUGCUAGAGCUGAGAGAGUGACAGUGGCGGAGGGGCAGCAGUGUUUGAGAACAGCCAGGGCCAAGUUAAACUGUAACUUUUAUGGUAUGAGCCCCAUGUUACCUCUGAACCUUUCCCAGGUUUCCUUGGGAAACUACUGAGCGUUUUUAAGGUUAGUUGAUGAUUUCUUCCUUGUUAAAAUUUUGUUGGGAAUCAUGGAAGCCAGUGAAACACCCGCGGGUCUCUACAACAGAGAAUAUUCUGUAAGGCCUCCCCAUGGAUUCUCUCCCAGUGCAAGGGGAUUUUCCCCCAGCAGCAGUCACGUUGUAACAGCAGCAGAGGGCCAGAGUCCCCCCGGGGGGAGUCUGACCGGGCCCACAGCGGUGGGAACAACGAUUCCUGUGGGCUGGAAGGUGCGAAACUAGAAAGGAUUUCUUAAAUUAAACAAAAAAAGAAGCCAAGCCAUCUCAGUGCAGUGCUGGAGCACACAGAAGCCACGUGGGGCGAGCUGGAAUGUGUUCCUGCCAGCCACCACCACGAGCAUGAGCUUCGUGCCUCAGGGCAGCCUCGGAGGGGAAUCAUGAGUAAAACACGCCACAGCGUGACAAAGUCAUGGCUGACUGGUCUGAUGAGGAUGUGAACAGAAAAGUAAUCAUUUUUCAAAUGGGUGAGAGAUCUUCUGUUAGCCAGAAGAAGAAAAAAAAGAGAGUGGGCAGCACUUCAUUUCAUGUCCAGUGAGCUAAGGACACUUUCUGAGGGUGCAGGAUCUAUCUUGAAAAAUGAGAUACUGAUUUAUAUAUAUCAAGAUGCUUCAGGGAUUCAAGGAAAGUACAUCAUUAGUUACUAGUUUGUCAACUCUCUUCUU